rnacentral:rRNA from 1 species
GUUGAACGCUGGCGGCGUGCCUAAUACAUGCAAGUCGAGCGAACAGACGAGGAGCUUUCUCCUCUGACGUUAGCGGCGGACGGGUGCGUAACACGUGGAUAACCUACCUAUAAGACUGGGAUAACUUCGGGAAACCGGAGCUAAUACCGGAUAAUAUAUUGAACCGCAUUGUUCAAUAGUGAAAGACGGUUUUGCUGUCACUUAUAGAUGGAUCCGCGCCGGAUUAGCUAGUUGGUAAGGUAACGGCUUACCAAGGCAACGAUGCGUAGCCGACCUGAGAGGGUGAUCGGCCACACUGGAACUGAGACACGGUCCAGACUCCUACGGGAGGCAGCAGUAGGGAAUCUUCCGCAAUGGGCGAAAGCUUGACGGAGCAACGCCGCGUGAGUGAUGAAGGUCUUCGGAUCGUAAAACUCUGUUAUUAGGGAAGAACAAAUGUGUAAGUAACUGUGCACGUCUUGACGGUACCUAAGCAGAAAGCCACGGCUAACUACGUG